rnacentral:tRNA from 1 species
GCUGGUAUUCAGGGGCGAAAACCAGUCGAGGCACCAGCCUUCCAAGCUGAAUACGAGGGUUCGAUUCCCUUCACCCGCUCCA